GUGGGGAAUAUUGGACAAUGGGCGAAAGCCUGAUCCAGCCAUGCCGCGUGUGUGAAGAAGGUCUUCGGAUUGUAAAGCACUUUAAGUUGGGAGGAAGGGCAGUAAGUUAAUACCUUGCUGUUUUGACGUUACCGACAGAAUAAGCACCGGCUAACUUCGUGCCAGCAGCCGCGGUAAUACGAAGGGUGCAAGCGUUAAUCGGAAUUACUGGGCGUAAAGCGAGCGUAGGUGGUUUUGUAAGUUGGAGGUGAAAUCCCCGGGCUAAACCUGGGAACUGCCUACAAUACUGCAUGACUAGAGUACGGUAGAGGGUAGUGGAAUUUCCUGUGUAGCGGUGACAUGCGUAGAUAUAGGAAGGAACACCAGUGGCGAAGGCGACUACCUGGACUGAUACUGACACUGAGGUGCGAAAGCGUGGGGAGCAAACAGGAUUAGAAACCCGUGUAGUCC
rnacentral:rRNA from 1 species